ACGGGGGGAGCAAGCGUUGUUCGGAAUCACUGGGCGUAAAGGGCGAGUAGGCGGUCAGGUAAGUGGAAUGUGAAAUGCCCCGGCUCACCCGGGGACCGGCAUCCCAAACUGCCUGGCUUGAGUAUGGGAGAGGAUGGAGGAAUUCCUGGUGUAGCGGUGUAAUGCGUAGAUACCAGGAGGAACACCGGUGGCGAAGGCUUCCAUGUGGCCCAAUACUGACGCUGAGGCUAGAAAGCUAGGGGAGCAAACGU
rnacentral:rRNA from 1 species